GUGCAGCAGGCGAGAAUCCUUCGCAAUGCGGGAAACCGCGACGAGGGGACUCCCAGUGCCUACGCUCAGCGUAGGCUGUUCCCGAGCCUAGAAAGCUCGGGGAGUAAGGGCUGGGUAAGACGGGUGCCAGCCGCCGCGGUAAUACCCGCAGCCCGAGUGGUGGCCACUAUUAUUGGGCCUAAAGCGUCCGUAGCCGGCCCGGUAAAUGCCUGGGUAAAUCGUGAGGCCUAACCUCACGAAUUCCGGGUAGACUGCCGGGCUAGGGACCGGAGGAGGGAGAGGGGUACUCCAGGGGUAGGGGUGAAAUCCUGUAAUCCCUGGAGGACCACCGGUGGCGAAGGCGCUCUCCUAGGACGGGUCCGAUGGUGAGGGACGAAAGCCAGGGGAGCGAACCGGAUUAGAUACCCGUGUAGU
rnacentral:rRNA from 1 species